rnacentral:sRNA from 12 species
UUCGUUAGCUAAUGGGUACGGCGGAACUAUAACCGCUUAAGUAACGAACCACCUCAAGAACAUAGUGUCGCAUGCUAUGUGAGUAGUGAGAGCCUCUGCAAGAUGGAAGCGCAAUAAAAAUAUAGAGAGUUUCUGCUGGAGAUGCGACUUCCAGCGGAAAUCU